GACGAACGCUGGCGGCGCGCUUAACACAUGCAAGUCGAACGGAAAGGCCUGCUUUCCCUUGUGGCUUGCGGGUACUCGAGUGGCGAACGGGUGAGUAACACGUGAGUGAUCUGCCACCAACUUGGGUAUAAGACUGGGAAACUGGGUCUAAUUCCCGAUAGGACUGCAGGGUGGUGCCUGUGGUGGAAAACGAUUUUCUAGUGGUUGGGGAUGAGCUCGCGGCCUAUAAGCUUGUUGGUGGGGUAAUGGCCUACCAAGGCGGCGACGGGCAGCCGGCCUGAGAGGGCGGCCCGUCACAUUGGGACUGGGAUACGGCCCAGACUCCUACGGGAGGCCGCCGUCGGGCAUAUUUGUCAAUGGGCGGAAGCCUGGUGCAGCGACGCCGCGUGGGGGAUGUCGGCCUUCGGGUUGUAAACUCCUUUCGACCGCGAGGAAGCCACCUGGUUGGAAGGGUGGUGACGGUAGUGGUAGAAGAAGCACCGGCUAACUACGUG
rnacentral:rRNA from 1 species